rnacentral:lncRNA from 1 species
AUGGCCGCCCAGAACGCGUCUCGGGGCUUCCGUGGCUCGGGGGCGCCAGGAGGCUCAGCUGCGCGGGCCAGGCGACAGGGCUCUCACACCAUCGACGAUGGGGAGUGGCAGGGGCUGCAGCACCCGGGGAGUGGCCUGGGGCUGCUCCCUGCCGAAGCCGUGCCCUUGCUGUGGCAGUCCCUCUGGGCCGCUGUCACCAAAUGCCACCUGCCGGGGGCUCGUGAACAGGGCUCCCUGCUCACCGCUGCAGGAGCUGAGAUGAACACGCCCACAGAUUCGCGUCUGCUGGGGGAGGAGGUCAGUUCCUGGUCUGGUCCCGGGCUUCUCACCUUAGCCUCCCACGGCAGGCGGGGGCCAACGUGGUCUCUCCAGCCAGGGCACCGACCCUCUGGGCGAGAGCUCGCGACCCAAGCCCUUCUCCCACCCCCCCGCCAGCAGCACAGCAAACGCACACUCACACGAGGCUUACUUCUCACCACAGCAAGCCCAGGGCAGUGUCCACACUGGCAGGUGUCGCCUCUCCAAGGGCCGAGCCCGGGACCCAGACGCCGUCCACCUCCAACACGAGGCUUCACUGUGUCACCUUUGCAGACAGCAGAGCUGUCUGGGGAGGGGGCAGGAAGGGCAUGGCAAGGACUUGGGGGCCCCCGCCUACCCAGCACAGCCUGGAGCCCAGCCGCGUGCCCGCACCUCACCACCCAGGGCAGCUGGGAAGCGUGCGCAGGAGCAAGGGAAGGGGCCUGGGGCAGAGCCGGCCCGAGUGGCCUUCAGCAGGGCAGGGCUGCGGCUGCCCGCCGGCACCAGGCUCUCCCCGUUCUCUCCUCUGCCCACCGGAGCCACCUCCACCCUGCAAGCUGUCGCCCCACAGCGCAAGCUCAGCGGGCAGCGUCCGCUGACCUUGGCCAUCCUCCCGACCCCCACCCGCGGCCCGGGCUAAAUGCCCAUCAUCACGAGGCCGUCACCGCUCCCCCCUCCAACCCCGGCUGCUCCAGUGGCCCCAGUGAGCCUUUCGAACAGAAGUCGGAGGUCUGUUCUGCUCCAGAACAUUCCCGGGCUCCACGUCGUGCCCAGAGCCACCCAGAGGCCGGCUAUGGCCUGGGAGGGCAGCGGAGGGUGGCCCAAGUCCUUGGGCCCCUGCACCCACGUGGGAGACCUGGAGGAAGCUCCUGGCUCCUGCCUUCAGAUCGGCGCAGCUCCAGCCAUUGCAGCCAUCUGGGGAGUAACCAUCGGAUGGAAGACCUCUCUCUCUCUCUCUCUCUCUCUCUCUCUCUCUCUCUGUAUGUCUCUCUGUAUCUCUUUCAAAUAAAUAAAAAAUAA